rnacentral:rRNA from 1 species
UACGUAGGCAGCGAGCGUUGUUCGGAGUUACUGGGCGUAAAGAGUGCGUAGGCGGUUUUCUAAGUUUGGUGUGAAAUCUCCCGGCUCAACUGGGAGGGUGCGCCGAAGACUGGAAGGCUUGAGUAUGGGAGGGGUAAGCGGAAUUCCUGGUGUAGCGGUGAAAUGCGUAGAUAUCAGGAGGAACACCUGCGGUGUAGACGGCUUACUGGACCAUAACUGACGCUGAGGCACGAAAGCGUGGGUAGCAAACAGG